AGUGAACGCUGGCGGUAGGCCUAACACAUGCAAAUCGAACGGCAGCACAGGAGAGCUUGCUCUCUGGGUGGCGAGUGGCGGACGGGUGAGGAAUACAUCGGAAUCUACUCUGUCGUGGGGGAUAACGUAGGGAAACUUACGCUAAUACCGCAUACGACCUACGGGUGAAAGCAGGGGAACUUCGGGCCUUGCGCGAUUGAAUGAGCCGAUGUCGGAUUAGCUAGUUGGCGGGGUAAAGGCCCACCAAGGCGACGAUCCGUAGCUGGUCUGAGAGGAUGAUCAGCCACACUGGAACGGAGACACGGUCCCGACUCCUACGGGAGGCAGCAGUGGGGAAUAUUGGACAAUGGGCGCAAGCCUGAUCCAGCCAUACCGCGUGGGUGAAGAAGGCCUUCGGGUUGUAAAGCCCUUUUGUUGGGAAAGAAAUCCAGCUGGCUAAUACCCGGUUGGGAUGACGGUACCCAAAGAAUAAGCACCGGCUAACUUCGUGCCAGCCGCCGCAGUAA
rnacentral:rRNA from 1 species